GCAGGGCUGUCACUCAGUAGAAUAGGCUGCCCAUGGCGCCAUCCAUCCUGCCCUUGACCACCACCAGGGACGGGACACCCACAGCUGCUCUGGGCAGCCUAUGACAGUGCGUCACCGCUCUCCGAGUGCUUUGUCUACUACGCUCCUCUACUACCCUACCUAUUUGGGUCUUUUGCUCCCUGAUCGGUCCAGGGCCACUUAGGUACUGAGAAACAGAAGCUUGCUUGCAGGGUGCAAACUGCAAGAUCCCUGUAUGCUCCAGUACCUGCCUGCUCACCAGAAGGGCGAAGACAAGAUGAGACAGGCAGUGCAGAGAGGCGGUGCGCCGUGCGUACGUGUGCCUGCCUGUGGAGAGACCCAUCACCUUUGUGCGUGCCGCUGCUGCUGGCUUGCAUGGGAGAGAUGCUGUGUUUCUGCAAGCUGCUCUUCUUGGCUCCGUGGAGAACGGAGAGGUUGUUCCGAAGCUGGAGGUCCUGUUAGAAGCCAGCAAACAUUCUCAAGCCCUGAGCUCUGCAGGGCACGAGCUUUCCUUUCACCGUGUCAACGGCAGUAUCUAGAACAAUGGCUUCUAGAUCCAUUUUCAGAUUACCAGAUACCUCUCUGAUGGAAACAACCAGCAGUGGCGAUGCGGUUGAGAAUUGCAUCAGAGCGAACAGCGUUUCUGCAGCACCAGGAGCGCAGACUUUAUUUGGAGCCAUAUUCUGCAGUCCUGCCUCAAAGCUUGGGCACGCAUCAGCAGUAGUGCAGCCAGCAGGAGCGCGGUGCUCAUCGGCUCUGGUGGGGCCACACCCCGAGCACUGUGUGCAGUCUGGGGCCCCUCGCUACAAGAAAGACAUCGAGGCACUGGAGCGCGUCCAGACAAGGGAUACGAAGCCGCGAGGG
rnacentral:lncRNA from 1 species